rnacentral:rRNA from 1 species
AUGGCGCUUCUGCGAAAAAGUCCUUCCGUUUUGAGGAAAUCAACCCGCAAUGCAAUAAUAAGUGAUUUGCAGGAGAAUAACGAUUCGAUCGUUUGGGCAAACAGGACUGUCUUCGGCCUCAAGGAUAGACGCACGGUAUGGAAAAAAACAAACAAGGAGAGAUCGGGCAUGACUCCUCCUGAGAGCCACGAUGGAUCUUGCCUCCACAAGCUACAUAUUAUGAGCAAACAAAAUCAUCGUCACAAAUCCGAUUCCUUCCUCCUCCGCACGCAUGAAGCCGCCGCCGCUGCUUCUCACCUCGCCGCUAGAUCGGAAUCGAAGUCGUUGCUCAAAUCAAGAGAGAGAGAGAGAGAGAGAGAGAGAGAGAGAGAUCGGAUCGAGAUUGAAUGCCACGAGGAGCGCUGUCGGAGAUGCCAGGCCGUUGCCUUAGGCGGACGAGCCGCCGGCAAGGAAUCCACGUCGGGUGGCUAUCCGUGGCCUCUCAAGCCCUCUCUUACUCCCCCCUCCCCCACCUCCCACCGCCCGAGCGCCGUCACCUCACCUUCCACAGGCCCCCUCGACCCUCGGCUAGACGCCACGGCCGGGUCGCCACCCCCUCCCACCGCGAGGAAGACGACGGCAGAGCAAGGCGGCGGCGCUGGGCUGUACGUCGAGCCUCCCUCAGUGGCCUCCGUCCUCCAUACCGAUGCUCCGUCCCCCGUUUCAAUCGGCUCUGCUGCAACUUCGCCUGACGACCGGUGCUCUGCCUUCACCUGCUCUGCUUCGGUCUAG